GACGAACCGUGCGAACGGUGUUGGGAAUCACUGGGCUUAAAGGGUGCGUAGGCGGGUUGUCCAGUCUGGGGUGAAAUCCCACAGCUCAACCGUGGAAUUGCCUCAGAUACUGACGACCUCGAGGGAGGUAGGGGCGAGCGGAACUGCGGGUGGAGCGGUGAAAUGCGUUGAUAUCCACAGGAACUCCGGUGGCGAAGGCGGCUCGCUGUACCUCUUCUGACGCUGAGGCACGAAAGCUAGGGGAGCAAACGGG
rnacentral:rRNA from 1 species